CCAGACUCCUACGGGAGGCAGCAGUGGGGAAUAUUGCACAAUGGGGGAAACCCUGAUGCAGCGACGCCGCGUGAGUGAAGAAGUAUUUCGGUAUGUAAAGCUCUAUCAGCAGGGAAGAAAAUGACGGUACCUGACUAAGAAGCCCCGGCUAACUACGUGCCAGCAGCCGCGGUAAUACGUAGGGGGCAAGCGUUAUCCGGAUUUACUGGGUGUAAAGGGAGCGUGGACGGCGGAACAAGUCAGAAGUGAAAACCCGGGGCUCAACCCUGGGAGUGCUUUUGAAACUGUUUGGCUGGAGUGCAGGAGAGGUAAGCGGAAUUCCUAGUGUAGCGGUGAAAUGCGUAGAUAUUAGGAGGAACACCAGUGGCGAAGGCGGCUUACUGGACUGUAACUGACGUUGAGGCUCGAAAGCGUGGGGAGCAAACAGGAUUAGAUACCCUUGUAU
rnacentral:rRNA from 1 species